GAAACCAAUCUUGCCUGAAUCCAGGUCCGGGACUCUUUCCAGAGGUAACUCAGUGGCUAUGAUGUGCCUAGUCUGAAUUUUCAGAUCCUCCCUUAGUUCCUCAUAAACCUUGGCUCCUUUUGGUUCAUGGUGUCAGAUUCAUGGAAGGACAUCUUUGCCGGCAGUCUAACUGCUCAUAUUCCUUUGUGUGGAAAAUGAGAGAUGACAGGGUGCUCCCUGAGAAAGCCACUGUGAGAUAAGCCAGGAGAAGAAAUCAGUCUCUCUGGAAGAGGAACAGGCUGUACUUUGGAAAUGAAAUAUUCCUCUGAGGACCCUUUGGAGGCUUAAUAUUCCAGCCGCAGGUGUCAGAGGAAGGCGGACCCGAGGAAAUGGGGCACCAGAGCUAGGUUUUGGAAAUGUUCGGAGCCUGAUGUUCCUGACAUCUGCAACUUUCAUCUGGGUCCUGGGAGACGAUCUGGGUUGCCUUCAGAGUUUCACAUUGACAACUUCUACAUUCUGGGCAGCAGCCUACUAGCAUAGGAUUGGACACUUAAUGCUGGAAAGGACCUUGGAGUUCCUGUAGUCAUACCCACUAAUUUUAUAAAGGAGGAAACUAAGAAAUGAUUUGCCCAAAUUCAAGUGACUGAGCCAGGAUUUGAAUAUGGAUCCCUCUGGCCAACAUUCCUCCUCUUUACUUUUGACUUUGGGCUUUUUAACUGCACAUGGCAGGGACUGACUCCUUGAGAUCCAGAGUGGGGAGGUGACUUGCUGCUAACCUAGUUUCUCGUUUUAUUCAGCGGAAUGAUGUCUUUUUCCCAUAUGGGGAAACUAAGUUUCAAGGAGCUUAGCAUUAACCCCCAUUCAGAAUUCUAGGCUACUAGCCUAGCUUGCCUAUCUAUUUGUGACAACCUAGAUAGCAUCUCCUCCUCACUACUGCCAUUCUAAAAGAUUCCAAGGACUACUAAAAUUUAUGGGGAAAAGGCCACCUUAAUUAAGAGCCUUCUGUACUAGAAAGGAAAUAGACUUUCAUUUUCCUAACAGUGACAUGAUUUAUCACAACCCCUCCCCAAUUUCCCCCAAAGUCAUCACCCUUUCCAGGAGAAACAUCUAUCACUUGCAAGACAUUUCAAGAACCACCUUCCAUUCCUCCUCCCCAUUUCCUGAUGCCCUCCAGGCCUUCUGACUUUAAUCUAUCCCCCCUGCCCCAAAGGUUCAUGGGCCAAGUUCAAGCCAUGAACAGAUCCUCUAUUGUACCUCCAUUCAUGAUUGGAAGAGAAAAAAAAGUUGAUGAUCCCUCCUGGAGCCCAGCCUUGGAGGGAGAUGCCACUUGGUAACUCAGGGUGUGGGGAGGGAGGGCUGCCUCCUUGGCCACCCUUGCUUUUGAUGCCUGCCAUGAAAAUAUAUGUGUUUAAUCAGGCUCCUGACAGGUAAAGGCUGUUAAAAAAAAAAAAAAAAAAAAAAAAAAAAAAAAA